CGUAGGUGGCAAGCGUUGUCCGGAUUUAUUGGGCGUAAAGCGAGCGCAGGCGGUCUUUUAAGUCUGAUGUGAAAGCCCCCGGCUUAACCGGGGAGGGUCAUUGGAAACUGGGAGACUUGAGUGCAGAAGAGGAAAGCGGAAUUCCAUGUGUAGCGGUGAAAUGCGUAGAUAUAUGGAGGAACACCAGUGGCGAAGGCGGCUUUUCUGGUCUGUAACUGACGCUGAGGCUCGAAAGCGUGGGGAGCAAACAGGAUU
rnacentral:rRNA from 1 species